UUUCCGUAGGUGAACCUGCGGAAGGAUCAUUAUUGAGCCCUGCCCUCACGGGUAGACCUCCAACCCUUUGUGAACCAAACUUGUUGCUUCGGGGGCGACCCUGCCGCUUCGGCGGUGCGGCGCCCCCGGAGGCCAUUAAACACUGCAUCAUUGCGUCGGAGUUAAAGUAAAUUAAACAAAACUUUCAACAACGGAUCUCUUGGUUCCAGCAUCGAUGAAGAACGCAGC
rnacentral:misc_RNA from 1 species